CCGACGCCAGUUAGGCUGAUCAAUGAAUCUGAUACGAUCGAAUCAAAUAACAAAAGUAAAAAUUUUUACAACUUUGGCUUCCACGCGGAGUUUGUGGGUGUGGAAUUGUACUGCAAAAUAAAGGGAAAGGACACAUAAAAUGUUAUUUUUAGACAGCCGAGAGUCAAUUAAAGUAUGUCAGAAAAUACAAAAAGGCAGAGUGUUUUGGGAGAACACAGUGAACGUAACUUGGGUACCAGAUUCAGAAUUUUCAAUGUCUUUGAAUGGAACAUGAAGAAACACUCAAAAUACUGCAGUUUAGAUGAUGUUAUGCCAAAUUAAUUUGGGGCAGCUGGAGUUGUAGGUAGACAAAAGAAGCAAAAGAGAGCUUGACAUUUCUGUGGCUGUAUUAUCGGUGCAUCUCGAGGUUACAUCUCCAAAACCGAAAAAACUGGAAUCAGCUGAGUGCGGAGCUUGCACAGAUCUCAUAUGCCUCACGAUACGACCAACUUGGCUUAGGUACCCUACCAAGCAAUCUCGUUUUUCGUGAAACAGACCUUCAUUACAUAGGGACUGGCGUAAACUAUUAUUUUUGUGCAAUACAUCUGCAUAAGGACGUGUUUGGGCCGGGAUCAUUCAAGCCCUAGGUCCAAUAAAAGGCCACAAUUAAUACAUCAGCGUGAUAAGAUUUUACUGUGAAACUCUCAGCUUCUCUGUCACAUGUACUAAAGUAUCUGAACCGACGAAAGCUAAAUUCAUACUCGGGACUCAGACUCAAUGGCUGAGUGCCGAACGAGUGACUGUGGCAUUACUUGGUCACACUUACUUCAGUCUAACUAAUAAAUUGGACCAAAAUUGGCAGCUGAGUUGUCACACUUAUCGAUUAUUGGACAAACAAAAACAACUAAUGAAACACAUUAAUGAAAUAAGUAAAAAAAGGUUGGAGCAGAAUCCGAAAUUUGGUCGUGAAGAAAGAAAUUCAA